AAAAAACAUGGAACUUCACGUCACCUAAAAAAAUGAAGAAUUAAGUAUGUGGAGGUUUGCCCAGGAGGGUUUGCUGCUCCAGCCUGAGCUCAGAGGGUCAGCUCCGUCAGCCGCCCCCCACCGGCCCCGUGCGUGCAGACACCAGGGAUUUGCACCGUGACUUCCCAGCCAGUGAAAAUAACCAUGUUAUUCUGAUGGGCAGUUGGCAGCCAUGCACAGAAGCUGAGACGUGUCUGGUGGUGAGUGAGCACCAGGGCUGGGGAAGCCGACGCUCGCAGUCCCGUGUCCCCGUGCAGUCCAGGCCCCCGGGGACUCGCUGGAGCUCAGCAGCAGCAGGGCUGGAAGCAAACAUAAAGGGCCUCUGAGCGGCCAGAAGGAAAGCCAGUGGCAUGUGCUGCAACGCCCGGACUUAGCAGGCUCACGCCCCGAGGCCCUGCCCGUGCCCUCCGCACGUACGCUGCCCUUCACCUCCGAGUGGACUUGGUUAUUAGGCUUCCUGGCGCAUCGAGGAUUAGGAGGGAAAGUUCACAGGCAGGAAACCACCAGAACGUCCCUCGGCGACGUUGACCAAUGGUGCUGUGUUCCUGCUGUGGGGUUCUACUCGGUGAUGAGAAGCAACAAGCUGUUGAUUCACCCAAUGACCCGGACGAACUUGGAGGGCACUCGGCUGAAUGGAAGCAGCGUGUGAGCGUUACAGAGCAUCCCCAAGAUACUUAUGCCUUAAACCGAAGACCAAAUACUGCUGGUUCCUGCCUCCUGUCUCUUCACGGCAUCAUUAGUCGUUUUCAGGAGCUGCGUUCUGUAAGUGGAUCUGCUAGCUUGUCACUGCUGAGUUCUGAGUUACCAGUGACACCUGAGGAAAAGCCCAGAAUAGCUCCAGCCAGCCAGCAGUGUGUGUGCAGGGAGAGAGGAGACUCACGGAUUUACGGGGCACCGUGGGGCUCUCUUCUACAAACCCCAGCAAAAGCUUGUAUCUUUGUCCAAGGAGGUACGAACACUUUGCUGCUUAUAGAUCCUUCCCAGCUCUCCUGUGAGGAGGACGCCAAGCAGAAGUUGGUGCUGUCAGGCUGCAGAUGGGUACAACCGAGGCACGGGACAGUCGUCACAACUUCAAGAAAAUUAAGUUCUUUAUAAGUAGGAGCUCUGAAUCCAAUAGAUGCAAGGGAAGUAGUGAAGUGGGAAGAGUGAAUCAUGUGUUCACACAUUCAUUUAUUCAACAGGCUUCAGUGAGCCCCUGUGUUGCCAGGCUUUUUGCCAGGAUGGGGAGAGAUACAAAGAUUAAUAAAGCAGGACUCCCACUCUCAAAAACCCUAAGUCUGGUUGAAGAAGCAGAUGCUUCAGCAAAUAAUUUCAGUGUUAUAUGUGCAGGGCCGCCCUGUACAGUUGCUCAGGUGCUUCACUGCACAAAUGUGCUUGGCUGAAGGGGCAAGUGGGACCUGAAAUCUAGCCUUAGUCUGCUGGCCAAGCCUUUGCCCUGGUGAGGAGCAGGGUCUGUCCAAGAAAGGGGUACCUUUUUCUGGUGGUGAAAAAUGUAGGUGAGCUCUGCUGUAGCCAUGGGACCCUAGUCCCACAUUUCUGUAGCAUCAUCUCCCAUAAACCAUUCCAGGUACUAAUCACAAAUGGAUGGCAGACCCUGUGCUCCCUCCCUCCCUGGGCCUCAACCUCCCCUCUGCAGUGUGGGGGUGAGCCUUCUUGUACCAGUCUAGGUGAGCGUGAUUUCUUGCAGAGAACCCUCGGGGUGAUGAUUCCUGCCUUUACUCCUGUAGGUGUGAUAUUCAGUAAAGGAAGGAUAUUCCAAAGGGGGAGUCCUGGACUUUAAUCAGGACAGAAGGGCUGCCUGAGCCCCUGUGCCCAAAAGGUGGAGUACGUCAUGCCCAGUACUGGAGACCAUUCUGGGGGCAGCGUGA